CUAUACUCACCUUGUGUGGAUGUUGUUGUAUUGCAUGUCUGCGUGCUCUGUUUAAUUGUCUCACCACUACGGCGAUAUCGCCCAUGGAAGACAAGAUGGCCCGGGUAUGCCUAAUGUCUGAACGCCAGCAUGUUGAUGAUAACGAUGAUGAUGAUGCAAUUUUUGCACUUGAGUUUACAGACUUUUUCCCAGAUCUGUGUGUUUCCGAAUGAUAAUGUCGCAACAUUUAUCCUUUUUAGUGUAAACUUAUUUGUGCUCAUACUUGUGAUCCGACAACUGAAAAUCGAGAAAAGUGGUUGUUUUUGGUGAUGUAAAAAUUUAGCAAAUAUGUGAUAAACAGGAGGGAAAUGUCAGAAUAAUUAGUUUUGCAGAAGCGCUGGUCGGCCUGAACCGGAGGUCUCAUAUCUUCGCUC